UCCGUUCCGGUGACGUCGUGGUUAGAGCGUCCGCCUCGAAUGCGGGAGGUCGUGGGUUCGAAUCCCAGAAAA